GAUCAUGGCUCAGGAUAAACGCUGGCGGCGCACAUAAGACAUGCAAGUCGAACGGAAGUCGUUAUAAAAAGGAUUGAAGAUUUAUCUGAUUGAGAUUUUAUAACAAUGGCUUUAAGUGGCGGACUGGUGAGUAACGCGUGAGCAACCUGCCUACUAGAGGGGAAUAACAGUGAGAAAUCAUUGCUAAUACCGCAUAUGCCAUGAACAUCACAUGAUGAAAAUAGGG
rnacentral:rRNA from 1 species